AUAGCGUAUAUUAAAGUUGUUGCAGUUAAAAAGCUCGUAGUUGAAUUUCGGGGUUAGUAGGUUGGUCAUGCCUCUGGUAUGUACUGGUCUCACUGAUUCCUCCUUCCUGAUGAACCUUAAUGCCAUUAAUUUGGUGUUUUGGGGAAUUUGGACUGUUACUUUGAAAAAAUUAGAGUGUUUAAAGCAAGCUAACGCUUGAAUACAUUAGCAUGGAAUAAUGAAAUAGGACGUUCGAUCCUAUUUUGUUGGUUUCUAGGAUUGACGUAAUGAUUAAUAGGGAUAGUUGGGGGCAUUAGUAUUCAAUUGUCAGAGGUGAAAUUCUUGGAUUUAUUGAAGACUAACUACUG
rnacentral:rRNA from 1 species